rnacentral:lncRNA from 1 species
GAAUUUUCGAGACCUUUGGCACCGUUCUAAGAUGGGUCCUCUCUUCGUAGGCUAAUGCAUUGGCCCUUUUUGACCCGUUUUGGGGCGAAAACAAAAACUGACUCCCGGGCAUAUUUUUUUUCGGCCUUUAUGGGCAGAGAACUUUAAUGCCGCUCAGAAUGAGGCCACCCAGUAGUUAGGUGUGAAUUUUCGAGACCUUUGGCACCGUUCUAAGAUGGGUCCUCUCUUCGUAGGCUAAUGCAUUGGCCCUUUUUGACCCGUUUUGGGGCGAAAACAAAAACUGACUCCCGGGCAUAUUUUUUUCGGCCUUUAUGGGCAGAGAACUUUAAUGCCGCUCAGAAUGAGGCCACCCAGUAGUUAGGUGUGAAUUUUCGAGACCUCUGGCACCGUUCUAAGAUGGGUCCUCUCUUCGUAGGCUAAUGCAUUGGCCCUUUUUGACCCGUUUUGGGGCGAAAACAAAAACUGACUCCCGGGCAUAUUUUUUUCGGCCUUUAUGGGCAGAGAACUUUAAUGCCGCUCAGAAUGAGGCCACCCAGUAGUUAGGUGUGAAUUUUCGAGACCUCUGGCACCGUUCUAAGAUGGGUCCUCUCUUCGUAGGCUAAUGCAUUGGCCCUUUUUGACCCGUUUUGGGGCGAAAACAAAAACUGACUCCCGGGCAUAUUUUUUUCGGCCUUUAUGGGCAGAGAACUUUAAUGCCGCUCAGAAUGAGGCCACCCAGUAGUUAGGUGUGAAUUUUCGAGACCUCUGGCACCGUUCUAAGAUGGGUCCUCUCUUCGUAGGCUAAUGCAUUGGCCCUUUUUGACCCGUUUUGGGGCGAAAACAAAAACUGACUCCCGGGCAUAUUUUUUUCGGCCUUUAUGGGCAGAGAACUUUAAUGCCGCUCAGAAUGAGGCCACCCAGUAGUUAGGUGUGAAUUUUCGAGACCUCUGGCACCGUUCUAAGAUGGGUCCUCUCUUCGUAGGCUAAUGCAUUGGCCCUUUUUGACCCGUUUUGGGGCGAAAACAAAAACUGACUCCCGGGCAUAUUUUUUUCGGCCUUUAUGGGCAGAGAACUUUAAUGCCGCUCAGAAUGAGGCCACCCAGUAGUUAGGUGUGAAUUUUCGAGACCUCUGGCACCGUUCUAAGAUGGGUCCUCUCUUCGUAGGCUAAUGCAUUGGCCCUUUUUGACCCGUUUUGGGGCGAAAACAAAAACUGACUCCCGGGCAUAUUUUUUUCGGCCUUUAUGGGCAGAGAACUUUAAUGCCGCUCAGAAUGAGGCCACCCAGUAGUUAGGUGUGAAUUUUCGAGACCUCUGGCACCGUUCUAAGAUGGGUCCUCUCUUCGUAGGCUAAUGCAUUGGCCCUUUUUGACCCGUUUUGGGGCGAAAACAAAAACUGACUCCCGGGCAUAUUUUUUUCGGCCUUUAUGGGCAGAGAACUUUAAUGCCGCUCAGAAUGAGGCCACCCAGUAGUUAGGUGUGAAUUUUCGAGACCUCUGGCACCGUUCUAAGAUGGGUCCUCUCUUCGUAGGCUAAUGCAUUGGCCCUUUUUGACCCGUUUUGGGGCGAAAACAAAAACUGACUCCCGGGCAUAUUUUUUUCGGCCUUUAUGGGCAGAGAACUUUAAUGCCGCUCAGAAUGAGGCCACCCAGUAGUUAGGUGUGAAUUUUCGAGACCUCUGGCACCGUUCUAAGAUGGGUCCUCUCUUCGUAGGCUAAUGCAUUGGCCCUUUUUGACCCGUUUUGGGGCGAAAACAAAAACUGACUCCCGGGCAUAUUUUUUUCGGCCUUUAUGGGCAGAGAACUUUAAUGCCGCUCAGAAUGAGGCCACCCAGUAGUUAGGUGUGAAUUUUCGAGACCUCUGGCACCGUUCUAAGAUGGGUCCUCUCUUCGUAGGCUAAUGCAUUGGCCCUUUUUGACCCGUUUUGGGGCGAAAACAAAAACUGACUCCCGGGCAUAUUUUUUUCGGCCUUUUAUGGGCAGAGAACUUUAAUGCCGCUCAGAAUGAGGCCACCCAGUAGUUAGGUGUGAAUUUUCGAGACCUCUGGCACCGUUCUAAGAUGGGUCCUCUCUUCGUAGGCUAAUGCAUUGGCCCUUUUUGACCCGUUUUGGGGCGAAAACAAAAACUGACUCCCGGGCAUAUUUUUUUCGGCCUUUAUGGGCAGAGAACUUUAAUGCCGCUCAGAAUGAGGCCACCCAGUAGUUAGGUGUGAAUUUUCGAGACCUCUGGCACCGUUCUAAGAUGGGUCCUCUCUUCGUAGGCUAAUGCAUUGGCCCUUUUUGACCCGUUUUGGGGCGAAAACAAAAACUGACUCCCGGGCAUAUUUUUUUCGGCCUUUAUGGGCAGAGAACUUUAAUGCCGCUCAGAAUGAGGCCACCCAGUAGUUAGGUGUGAAUUUUCGAGACCUCUGGCACCGUUCUAAGAUGGGUCCUCUCUUCGUAGGCUAAUGCAUUGGCCCUUUUUGACCCGUUUUGGGGCGAAAACAAAAACUGACUCCCGGGCAUAUUUUUUUCGGCCUUUAUGGGCAGAGAACUUUAAUGCCGCUCAGAAUGAGGCCACCCAGUAGUUAGGUGUGAAUUUUCGAGACCUCUGGCACCGUUCUAAGAUGGGUCCUCUCUUCGUAGGCUAAUGCAUUGGCCCUUUUUGACCCGUUUUGGGGCGAAAACAAAAACUGACUCCCGGGCAUAUUUUUUUCGGCCUUUAUGGGCAGAGAACUUUAAUGCCGCUCAGAAUGAGGCCACCCAGUAGUUAGGUGUGAAUUUUCGAGACCUCUGGCACCGUUCUAAGAUGGGUCCUCUCUUCGUAGGCUAAUGCAUUGGCCCUUUUUGACCCGUUUUGGGGCGAAAAAAAAAAACUGACUCCCGGGCAUAUUUUUUUCGGCCUUUAUGGGCAGAGAACUUUAAUGCCGCUCAGAAUGAGGCCACCCAGUAGUUAGGUGUGAAUUUUCGAGACCUCUGGCACCGUUCUAAGAUGGGUCCUCUCUUCGUAGGCUAAUGCAUUGGCCCUUUUUGACCCGUUUUGGGGCGAAAACAAAAACUGACUCCCGGGCAUAUUUUUUUCGGCCUUUAUGGGCAGAGAACUUUAAUGCCGCUCAGAAUGAGGCCACCCAGUAGUUAGGUGUGAAUUUUCGAGACCUCUGGCACCGUUCUAAGAUGGGUCCUCUCUUCGUAGGCUAAUGCAUUGGCCCUUUUUGACCCGUUUUGGGGCGAAAACAAAAACUGACUCCCGGGCAUAUUUUUUUCGGCCUUUAUGGGCAGAGAACUUUAAUGCCGCUCAGAAUGAGGCCACCCAGUAGUUAGGUGUGAAUUUUCGAGACCUCUGGCACCGUUCUAAGAUGGGUCCUCUCUUCGUAGGCUAAUGCAUUGGCCCUUUUUGACCCGUUUUGGGGCGAAAACAAAAACUGACUCCCGGGCAUAUUUUUUUCGGCCUUUAUGGGCAGAGAACUUUAAUGCCGCUCAGAAUGAGGCCACCCAGUAGUUAGGUGUGAAUUUUCGAGACCUCUGGCACCGUUCUAAGAUGGGUCCUCUCUUCGUAGGCUAAUGCAUUGGCCCUUUUUGACCCGUUUUGGGGCGAAAACAAAAACUGACUCCCGGGCAUAUUUUUUUCGGCCUUUAUGGGCAGAGAACUUUAAUGCCGCUCAGAAUGAGGCCACCCAGUAGUUAGGUGUGAAUUUUCGAGACCUCUGGCACCGUUCUAAGAUGGGUCCUCUCUUCGUAGGCUAAUGCAUUGGCCCUUUUUGACCCGUUUUGGGGCGAAAACAAAAACUGACUCCCGGGCAUAUUUUUUUCGGCCUUUAUGGGCAGAGAACUUUAAUGCCGCUCAGAAUGAGGCCACCCAGUAGUUAGGUGUGAAUUUUCGAGACCUCUGGCACCGUUCUAAGAUGGGUCCUCUCUUCGUAGGCUAAUGCAUUGGCCCUUUUUGACCCGUUUUGGGGCGAAAACAAAAACUGACUCCCGGGCAUAUUUUUUUCGGCCUUUAUGGGCAGAGAACUUUAAUACCGCUCAGAAUGAGGCCACCCAGUAGUUAGGUGUGAAUUUUCGAGACCUCUGGCACCGUUCUAAGAUGGGUCCUCUCUUCGUAGGCUAAUGCAUUGGCCCUUUUUGACCCGUUUUGGGGCGAAAACAAAAACUGACUCCCGGGCAUAUUUUUUUCGGCCUUUAUGGGCAGAGAACUUUAAUGCCGCUCAGAAUGAGGCCACCCAGUAGUUAGGUGUGAAUUUUCGAGACCUCUGGCACCGUUCUAAGAUGGGUCCUCUCUUCGUAGGCUAAUGCAUUGGCCCUUUUUGACCCGUUUUGGGGCGAAAACAAAAACUGACUCCCGGGCAUAUUUUUUUCGGCCUUUAUGGGCAGAGAACUUUAAUACCGCUCAGAAUGAGGCCACCCAGUAGUUAGGUGUGAAUUUUCGAGACCUCUGGCACCGUUCUAAGAUGGGUCCUCUCUUCGUAGGCUAAUGCAUUGGCCCUUUUUGACCCGUUUUGGGGCGAAAACAAAAACUGACUCCCGGGCAUAUUUUUUUCGGCCUUUAUGGGCAGAGAACUUUAAUACCGCUCAGAAUGAGGCCACCCAGUAGUUAGGUGUGAAUUUUCGAGACCUCUGGCACCGUUCUAAGAUGGGUCCUCUCUUCGUAGGCUAAUGCAUUGGCCCUUUUUGACCCGUUUUGGGGCGAAAACAAAAACUGACUCCCGGGCAUAUUUUUUUCGGCCUUUAUGGGCAGAGAACUUUAAUACCGCUCAGAAUGAGGCCACCCAGUAGUUAGGUGUGAAUUUUCGAGACCUCUGGCACCGUUCUAAGAUGGGUCCUCUCUUCGUAGGCUAAUGCAUUGGCCCUUUUUGACCCGUUUUGGGGCGAAAACAAAAACUGACUCCCGGGCAUAUUUUUUUCGGCCUUUAUGGGCAGAGAACUUUAAUACCGCUCAGAAUGAGGCCACCCAGUAGUUAGGUGUGAAUUUUCGAGACCUCUGGCACCGUUCUAAGAUGGGUCCUCUCUUCGUAGGCUAAUGCAUUGGCCCUUUUUGACCCGUUUUGGGGCGAAAACAAAAACUGACUCCCGGGCAUAUUUUUUUCGGCCUUUAUGGGCAGAGAACUUUAAUGCCGCUCAGAAUGAGGCCACCCAGUAGUUAGGUGUGAAUUUUCGAGACCUCUGGCACCGUUCUAAGAUGGGUCCUCUCUUCGUAGGCUAAUGCAUUGGCCCUUUUUGACCCGUUUUGGGGCGAAAACAAAAACUGACUCCCGGGCAUAUUUUUUUCGGCCUUUAUGGGCAGAGAACUUUAAUACCGCUCAGAAUGAGGCCACCCAGUAGUUAGGUGUGAAUUUUCGAGACCUCUGGCACCGUUCUAAGAUGGGUCCUCUCUUCGUAGGCUAAUGCAUUGGCCCUUUUUGACCCGUUUUGGGGCGAAAACAAAAACUGACUCCCGGGCAUAUUUUUUUCGGCCUUUAUGGGCAGAGAACUUUAAUGCCGCUCAGAAUGAGGCCACCCAGUAGUUAGGUGUGAAUUUUCGAGACCUCUGGCACCGUUCUAAGAUGGGUCCUCUCUUCGUAGGCUAAUGCAUUGGCCCUUUUUGACCCGUUUUGGGGCGAAAACAAAAACUGACUCCCGGGCAUAUUUUUUUCGGCCUUUAUGGGCAGAGAACUUUAAUGCCGCUCAGAAUGAGGCCACCCAGUAGUUAGGUGUGAAUUUUCGAGACCUCUGGCACCGUUCUAAGAUGGGUCCUCUCUUCGUAGGCUAAUGCAUUGGCCCUUUUUGACCCGUUUUGGGGCGAAAACAAAAACUGACUCCCGGGCAUAUUUUUUUCGGCCUUUAUGGGCAGAGAACUUUAAUACCGCUCAGAAUGAGGCCACCCAGUAGUUAGGUGUGAAUUUUCGAGACCUCUGGCACCGUUCUAAGAUGGGUCCUCUCUUCGUAGGCUAAUGCAUUGGCCCUUUUUGACCCGUUUUGGGGCGAAAACAAAAACUGACUCCCGGGCAUAUUUUUUUCGGCCUUUAUGGGCAGAGAACUUUAAUGCCGCUCAGAAUGAGGCCACCCAGUAGUUAGGUGUGAAUUUUCGAGACCUCUGGCACCGUUCUAAGAUGGGUCCUCUCUUCGUAGGCUAAUGCAUUGGCCCUUUUUGACCCGUUUUGGGGCGAAAACAAAAACUGACUCCCGGGCAUAUUUUUUUCGGCCUUUAUGGGCAGAGAACUUUAAUGCCGCUCAGAAUGAGGCCACCCAGUAGUUAGGUGUGAAUUUUCGAGACCUCUGGCACCGUUCUAAGAUGGGUCCUCUCUUCGUAGGCUAAUGCAUUGGCCCUUUUUGACCCGUUUUGGGGCGAAAACAAAAACUGACUCCCGGGCAUAUUUUUUUCGGCCUUUAUGGGCAGAGAACUUUAAUGCCGCUCAGAAUGAGGCCACCCAGUAGUUAGGUGUGAAUUUUCGAGACCUCUGGCACCGUUCUAAGAUGGGUCCUCUCUUCGUAGGCUAAUGCAUUGGCCCUUUUUGACCCGUUUUGGGGCGAAAACAAAAACUGACUCCCGGGCAUAUUUUUUUCGGCCUUUAUGGGCAGAGAACUUUAAUGCCGCUCAGAAUGAGGCCACCCAGUAGUUAGGUGUGAAUUUUCGAGACCUCUGGCACCGUUCUAAGAUGGGUCCUCUCUUCGUAGGCUAAUGCAUUGGCCCUUUUUGACCCGUUUUGGGGCGAAAACAAAAACUGACUCCCGGGCAUAUUUUUUUCGGCCUUUAUGGGCAGAGAACUUUAAUGCCGCUCAGAAUGAGGCCACCCAGUAGUUAGGUGUGAAUUUUCGAGACCUCUGGCACCGUUCUAAGAUGGGUCCUCUCUUCGUAGGCUAAUGCAUUGGCCCUUUUUGACCCGUUUUGGGGCGAAAACAAAAACUGACUCCCGGGCAUAUUUUUUUCGGCCUUUAUGGGCAGAGAACUUUAAUGCCGCUCAGAAUGAGGCCACCCAGUAGUUAGGUGUGAAUUUUCGAGACCUCUGGCACCGUUCUAAGAUGGGUCCUCUCUUCGUAGGCUAAUGCAUUGGCCCUUUUUGACCCGUUUUGGGGCGAAAACAAAAACUGACUCCCGGGCAUAUUUUUUUCGGCCUUUAUGGGCAGAGAACUUUAAUGCCGCUCAGAAUGAGGCCACCCAGUAGUUAGGUGUGAAUUUUCGAGACCUCUGGCACCGUUCUAAGAUGGGUCCUCUCUUCGUAGGCUAAUGCAUUGGCCCUUUUUGACCCGUUUUGGGGCGAAAACAAAAACUGACUCCCGGGCAUAUUUUUUUCGGCCUUUAUGGGCAGAGAACUUUAAUGCCGCUCAGAAUGAGGCCACCCAGUAGUUAGGUGUGAAUUUUCGAGACCUCUGGCACCGUUCUAAGAUGGGUCCUCUCUUCGUAGGCUAAUGCAUUGGCCCUUUUUGACCCGUUUUGGGGCGAAAACAAAAACUGACUCCCGGGCAUAUUUUUUUCGGCCUUUAUGGGCAGAGAACUUUAAUGCCGCUCAGAAUGAGGCCACCCAGUAGUUAGGUGUGAAUUUUCGAGACCUCUGGCACCGUUCUAAGAUGGGUCCUCUCUUCGUAGGCUAAUGCAUUGGCCCUUUUUGACCCGUUUUGGGGCGAAAACAAAAACUGACUCCCGGGCAUAUUUUUUUCGGCCUUUAUGGGCAGAGAACUUUAAUGCCGCUCAGAAUGAGGCCACCCAGUAGUUAGGUGUGAAUUUUCGAGACCUCUGGCACCGUUCUAAGAUGGGUCCUCUCUUCGUAGGCUAAUGCAUUGGCCCUUUUUGACCCGUUUUGGGGCGAAAACAAAAACUGACUCCCGGGCAUAUUUUUUUCGGCCUUUAUGGGCAGAGAACUUUAAUGCCGCUCAGAAUGAGGCCACCCAGUAGUUAGGUGUGAAUUUUCGAGACCUCUGGCACCGUUCUAAGAUGGGUCCUCUCUUCGUAGGCUAAUGCAUUGGCCCUUUUUGACCCGUUUUGGGGCGAAAACAAAAACUGACUCCCGGGCAUAUUUUUUUCGGCCUUUAUGGGCAGAGAACUUUAAUACCGCUCAGAAUGAGGCCACCCAGUAGUUAGGUGUGAAUUUUCGAGACCUCUGGCACCGUUCUAAGAUGGGUCCUCUCUUCGUAGGCUAAUGCAUUGGCCCUUUUUGACCCGUUUUGGGGCGAAAACAAAAACUGACUCCCGGGCAUAUUUUUUUCGGCCUUUAUGGGCAGAGAACUUUAAUGCCGCUCAGAAUGAGGCCACCCAGUAGUUAGGUGUGAAUUUUCGAGACCUCUGGCACCGUUCUAAGAUGGGUCCUCUCUUCGUAGGCUAAUGCAUUGGCCCUUUUUGACCCGUUUUGGGGCGAAAACAAAAACUGACUCCCGGGCAUAUUUUUUUCGGCCUUUAUGGGCAGAGAACUUUAAUACCGCUCAGAAUGAGGCCACCCAGUAGUUAGGUGUGAAUUUUCGAGACCUCUGGCACCGUUCUAAGAUGGGUCCUCUCUUCGUAGGCUAAUGCAUUGGCCCUUUUUGACCCGUUUUGGGGCGAAAACAAAAACUGACUCCCGGGCAUAUUUUUUUCGGCCUUUAUGGGCAGAGAACUUUAAUGCCGCUCAGAAUGAGGCCACCCAGUAGUUAGGUGUGAAUUUUCGAGACCUCUGGCACCGUUCUAAGAUGGGUCCUCUCUUCGUAGGCUAAUGCAUUGGCCCUUUUUGACCCGUUUUGGGGCGAAAACAAAAACUGACUCCCGGGCAUAUUUUUUUCGGCCUUUAUGGGCAGAGAACUUUAAUGCCGCUCAGAAUGAGGCCACCCAGUAGUUAGGUGUGAAUUUUCGAGACCUCUGGCACCGUUCUAAGAUGGGUCCUCUCUUCGUAGGGCUAAUGCAUUGGCCCUUUUUGACCCGUUUUGGGGCGAAAACAAAAACUGACUCCCGGGCAUAUUUUUUUCGGCCUUUAUGGGCAGAGAACUUUAAUACCGCUCAGAAUGAGGCCACCCAGUAGUUAGGUGUGAAUUUUCGAGACCUCUGGCACCGUUCUAAGAUGGGUCCUCUCUUCGUAGGCUAAUGCAUUGGCCCUUUUUGACCCGUUUUGGGGCGAAAACAAAAACUGACUCCCGGGCAUAUUUUUUUCGGCCUUUAUGGGCAGAGAACUUUAAUGCCGCUCAGAAUGAGGCCACCCAGUAGUUAGGUGUGAAUUUUCGAGACCUCUGGCACCGUUCUAAGAUGGGUCCUCUCUUCGUAGGCUAAUGCAUUGGCCCUUUUUGACCCGUUUUGGGGCGAAAACCAAAAACUGACUCCCGGGCAUAUUUUUUUCGGCCUUUAUGGGCAGAGAACUUUAAUACCGCUCAGAAUGAGGCCACCACCCAGUAGUUAGGUGUGAAUUUUCGAGACCUCUGGCACCGUUCUAAGAUGGGUCCUCUCUUCGUAGGCUAAUGCAUUGGCCCUUUUUGACCCGUUUUGGGGCGAAAACAAAAACUGACUCCCGGGCAUAUUUUUUUCGGCCUUUAUGGGCAGAGAAACUUUAAUGCCGCUCAGAAUGAGGCCACCCAGUAGUUAGGUGUGAAUUUUCGAGACCUCUGGCACCGUUCUAAGAUGGGUCCUCUCUUCGUAGGCUAAUGCAUUGGCCCUUUUUGACCCGUUUUGGGGCGAAAACAAAAACUGACUCCCGGGCAUAUUUUUUUCGGCCUUUAUGGGCAGAGAACUUUAAUACCGCUCAGAAUGAGGCCACCCAGUAGUUAGGUGUGAAUUUUCGAGACCUCUGGCACCGUUCUAAGAUGGGUCCUCUCUUCGUAGGCUAAUGCAUUGGCCCUUUUUGACCCGUUUUGGGGCGAAAACAAAAACUGACUCCCGGGCAUAUUUUUUUCGGCCUUUAUGGGCAAAGAACUUUAAUGCCGCUCAGAAUGAGGCCACCCAGUAGUUAGGUGUGAAUUUUCGAGACCUCUGGCACCGUUCUAAGAUGGGUCCUCUCUUCGUAGGCUAAUGCAUUGGCCCUUUUUGACCCGUUUUGGGGCGAAAAACAAAAACUGACUCCCGGGCAUAUUUUUUUCGGCCUUUAUGGGCAAAGAACUUUAAUGCCGCUCAGAAUGAGGCCACCCAGUAGUUAGGUGUGAAUUUUCGAGACCUCUGGCACCGUUCUAAGAUGGGUCCUCUCUUCGUAGGCUAAUGCAUUGGCCCUUUUUGACCCGUUUUGGGGCGAAAACAAAAAACUGACUCCCGGGCAUAUUUUUUUCGGCCUUUAUGGGCAGAGAACUUUAAUGCCGCUCAGAAUGAGGCCACCCAGUAGUUAGGUGUGAAUUUUCGAGACCUCUGGCACCGUUCUAAGAUGGGUCCUCUCUUCGUAGGCUAAUGCAUUGGCCCUUUUUGACCCGUUUUGGGGCGAAAACAAAAACUGACUCCCGGGCAUAUUUUUUUCGGCCUUUAUGGGCAGAGAACUUUAAUACCGCUCAGAAUGAGGCCACCCAGUAGUUAGGUGUGAAUUUUCGAGACCUCUGGCACCGUUCUAAGAUGGGUCCUCUCUUCGUAGGCUAAUGCAUUGGCCCUUUUUGACCCGUUUUGGGGCGAAAACAAAAACUGACUCCCGGGCAUAUUUUUUUCGGCCUUUAUGGGCAGAGAACUUUAAUACCGCUCAGAAUGAGGCCACCCAGUAGUUAGGUGUGAAUUUUCGAGACCCUCUGGCACCGUUCUAAGAUGGGUCCUCUCUUCGUAGGCUAAUGCAUUGGCCCUUUUUGACCCGUUUUGGGGCGAAAACAAAAACUGACUCCCGGGCAUAUUUUUUUCGGCCUUUAUGGGCAGAGAACUUUAAUACCGCUCAGAAUGAGGCCACCCAGUAGUUAGGUGUGAAUUUUCGAGACCUCUUGGCACCGUUCUAAGAUGGGUCCUCUCUUCGUAGGCUAAUGCAUUGGCCCUUUUUGACCCGUUUUGGGGCGAAAACAAAAACUGACUCCCGGGCAUAUUUUUUUCGGCCUUUAUGGGCAGAGAACUUUAAUGCCGCUCAGAAUGAGGCCACCCAGUAGUUAGGUGUGAAUUUUCGAGACCUCUGGCACCGUUCUAAGAUGGGUCCUCUCUUCGUAGGCUAAUGCAUUGGCCCUUUUUGACCCGUUUUGGGGCGAAAACAAAAACUGACUCCCGGGCAUAUUUUUUUCGGCCUUUAUGGGCAGAGAACUUUAAUACCGCUCAAAAAUGAGGCCACCCAGUAGUUAGGUGUGAAUUUUCGAGACCUCUGGCACCGUUCUAAGAUGGGUCCUCUCUUCGUAGGCUAAUGCAUUGGCCCUUUUUGACCCGUUUUGGGGCGAAAACAAAAACUGACUCCCGGGCAUAUUUUUUUCGGCCUUUAUGGGCAGAGAACUUUAAUACCGCUCAGAAUGAGGCCACCCAGUAGUUAGGUGUGAAUUUUCGAGACCUUUGGCACCGUUCUAAGAUGGGUCCUCUCUUCGUAGGCUAAUGCAUUGGCCCUUUUUGACCCGUUUUGGGGCGAAAACAAAAACUGACUCCCGGGCAUAUUUUUUUCGGCCUUUAUGGGCAGAGAACUUUAAUGCCGCUCAGAAUGAGGCCACCCAGUAGUUAGGUGUGAAUUUUCGAGACCUCUGGCACCGUUCUAAGAUGGGUCCUCUCUUCGUAGGCUAAUGCAUUGGCCCUUUUUGACCCGUUUUGGGGCGAAAACAAAAACUGACUCCCGGGCAUAUUUUUUUCGGCCUUUAUGGGCAGAGAACUUUAAUGCCGCUCAGAAUGAGGCCACCCAGUAGUUAGGUGUGAAUUUUCGAGACCUCUGGCACCGUUCUAAGAUGGGUCCUCUCUUCGUAGGCUAAUGCAUUGGCCCUUUUUGACCCGUUUUGGGGCGAAAACAAAAACUGACUCCCGGGCAUAUUUUUUUCGGCCUUUAUGGGCAGAGAACUUUAAUACCGCUCAGAAUGAGGCCACCCAGUAGUUAGGUGUGAAUUUUCGAGACCUCUGGCACCGUUCUAAGAUGGGUCCUCUCUUCGUAGGCUAAUGCAUUGGCCCUUUUUGACCCGUUUUGGGGCGAAAACAAAAACUGACUCCCGGGCAUAUUUUUUUCGGCCUUUAUGGGCAGAGAACUUUAAUACCGCUCAGAAUGAGGCCACCCAGUAGUUAGGUGUGAAUUUUCGAGACCUCUGGCACCGUUCUAAGAUGGGUCCUCUCUUCGUAGGCUAAUGCAUUGGCCCUUUUUGACCCGUUUUGGGGCGAAAACAAAAACUGACUCCCGGGCAUAUUUUUUUCGGCCUUUAUGGGCAGAGAACUUUAAUACCGCUCAGAAUGAGGCCACCCAGUAGUUAGGUGUGAAUUUUCGAGACCUUCUGGCACCGUUCUAAGAUGGGUCCUCUCUUCGUAGGCUAAUGCAUUGGCCCUUUUUGACCCGUUUUGGGGCGAAAACAAAAACUGACUCCCGGGCAUAUUUUUUUCGGCCUUUAUGGGCAGAGAACUUUAAUGCCGCUCAGAAUGAGGCCACCCAGUAGUUAGGUGUGAAUUUUCGAGACCUCUGGCACCGUUCUAAGAUGGGUCCUCUCUUCGUAGGCUAAUGCAUUGGCCCUUUUUGACCCGUUUUGGGGCGAAAACAAAAACUGACUCCCGGGCAUAUUUUUUUCGGCCUUUAUGGGCAGAGAACUUUAAUACCGCUCAGAAUGAGGCCACCCAGUAGUUAGGUGUGAAUUUUCGAGACCUCUGGCACCGUUCUAAGAUGGGUCCUCUCUUCGUAGGCUAAUGCAUUGGCCCUUUUUGACCCGUUUUGGGGCGAAAACAAAAACUGACUCCCGGGCAUAUUUUUUUCGGCCUUUAUGGGCAGAGAACUUUAAUACCGCUCAGAAUGAGGCCACCCAGUAGUUAGGUGUGAAUUUUCGAGACCUCUGGCACCGUUCUAAGAUGGGUCCUCUCUUCGUAGGCUAAUGCAUUGGCCCUUUUUGACCCGUUUUGGGGCGAAAACAAAAACUGACUCCCGGGCAUAUUUUUUUCGGCCUUUAUGGGCAGAGAACUUUAAUGCCGCUCAGAAUGAGGCCACCCAGUAGUUAGGUGUGAAUUUUCGAGACCUCUGGCACCGUUCUAAGAUGGGUCCUCUCUUCGUAGGCUAAUGCAUUGGCCCUUUUUGACCCGUUUUGGGGCGAAAACAAAAACUGACUCCCGGGCAUAUUUUUUUCGGCCUUUAUGGGCAGAGAACUUUAAUACCGCUCAGAAAUGAGGCCACCCAGUAGUUAGGUGUGAAUUUUCGAGACCUCUGGCACCGUUCUAAGAUGGGUCCUCUCUUCGUAGGCUAAUGCAUUGGCCCUUUUUGACCCGUUUUGGGGCGAAAACAAAAACUGACUCCCGGGCAUAUUUUUUUCGGCCUUUAUGGGCAGAGAACUUUAAUACCGCUCAGAAUGAGGCCACCCAGUAGUUAGGUGUGAAUUUUCGAGACCUCUCGGCACCGUUCUAAGAUGGGUCCUCUCUUCGUAGGCUAAUGCAUUGGCCCUUUUUGACCCGUUUUGGGGCGAAAACAAAAACUGACUCCCGGGCAUAUUUUUUUCGGCCUUUAUGGGCAGAGAACUUUAAUGCCGCUCAGAAAUGAGGCCACCCAGUAGUUAGGUGUGAAUUUUCGAGACCUCUGGCACCGUUCUAAGAUGGGUCCUCUCUUCGUAGGCUAAUGCAUUGGCCCUUUUUGACCCGUUUUGGGGCGAAAACAAAAACUGACUCCCGGGCAUAUUUUUUUCGGCCUUUAUGGGCAGAGAACUUUAAUACCGCUCAGAAUGAGGCCACCCAGUAGUUAGGUGUGAAUUUUCGAGACCUCUGGCACCGUUCUAAGAUGGGUCCUCUCUUCGUAGGCUAAUGCAUUGGCCCUUUUUGACCCGUUUUGGGGCGAAAACAAAAACUGACUCCCGGGCAUAUUUUUUUCGGCCUUUAUGGGCAGAGAACUUUAAUACCGCUCAGAAUGAGGCCACCCAGUAGUUAGGUGUGAAUUUUCGAGACCUCUUGGCACCGUUCUAAGAUGGGUCCUCUCUUCGUAGGCUAAUGCAUUGGCCCUUUUUGACCCGUUUUGGGGCGAAAACAAAAACUGACUCCCGGGCAUAUUUUUUUCGGCCUUUAUGGGCAGAGAACUUUAAUGCCGCUCAGAAUGAGGCCACCCAGUAGUUAGGUGUGAAUUUUCGAGACCUCUGGCACCGUUCUAAGAUGGGUCCUCUCUUCGUAGGCUAAUGCAUUGGCCCUUUUUGACCCGUUUUGGGGCGAAAACAAAAACUGACUCCCGGGCAUAUUUUUUUCGGCCUUUAUGGGCAGAGAACUUUAAUGCCGCUCAGAAUGAGGCCACCCAGUAGUUAGGUGUGAAUUUUCGAGACCUUUGGCACCGUUCUAAGAUGGGUCCUCUCUUCGUAGGCUAAUGCAUUGGCCCUUUUUGACCCGUUUUGGGGCGAAAACAAAAACUGACUCCCGGGCAUAUUUUUUUCGGCCUUUAUGGGCAGAGAACUUUAAUACCGCUCAGAAUGAGGCCACCCAGUAGUUAGGUGUGAAUUUUCGAGACCUCUGGCACCGUUCUAAGAUGGGUCCUCUCUUCGUAGGCUAAUGCAUUGGCCCUUUUUGACCCGUUUUGGGGCGAAAACAAAAACUGACUCCCGGGCAUAUUUUUUUCGGCCUUUAUGGGCAGAGAACUUUAAUGCCGCUCAGAAUGAGGCCACCCAGUAGUUAGGUGUGAAUUUUCGAGACCUCUGGCACCGUUCUAAGAUGGGUCCUCUCUUCGUAGGCUAAUGCAUUGGCCCUUUUUGACCCGUUUUGGGGCGAAAACAAAAACUGACUCCCGGGCAUAUUUUUUUCGGCCUUUAUGGGCAGAGAACUUUAAUACCGCUCAGAAUGAGGCCACCCAGUAGUUAGGUGUGAAUUUUCGAGACCUCUGGCACCGUUCUAAGAUGGGUCCUCUCUUCGUAGGCUAAUGCAUUGGCCCUUUUUGACCCGUUUUGGGGCGAAAACAAAAACUGACUCCCGGGCAUAUUUUUUUCGGCCUUUAUGGGCAGAGAACUCUUAAUAGCCGCUCAGAAAUGGCCAGGCCACCCAGUAGUUAGGUGUGAAUUUUCGAGACCUCUGGCACCGUUCUAAGAUGGGUCCUCUCUUCGUAGGCUAAUGCAUUGGCCCUUUUUGACCCGUUUUGGGGCGAAAACAAAAACUGACUCCCGGGCAUAUUUUUUUCGGCCUUUAUGGGCAGAGAACUUUAAUGCCGCUCAGAAUGAGGCCACCCAGUAGUUAGGUGUGAAUUUUCGAGACCUCUGGCACCGUUCUAAGAUGGGUCCUCUCUUCGUAGGCUAAUGCAUUGGCCCUUUUUGACCCGUUUUGGGGCGAAAACAAAAACUGACUCCCGGGCAUAUUUUUUUCGGCCUUUAUGGGCAGAGAACUUUAAUGCCGCUCAGAAUGAGGCCACCCAGUAGUUAGGUGUGAAUUUUCGAGACCUUUGGCACCGUUCUAAGAUGGGUCCUCUCUUCGUAGGCUAAUGCAUUGGCCCUUUUUGACCCGUUUUGGGGCGAAAACAAAAACUGACUCCCGGGCAUAUUUUUUUCGGCCUUUAUGGGCAGAGAACUUUAAUGCCGCUCAGAAUGAGGCCACCCAGUAGUUAGGUGUGAAUUUUCGAGACCUCUGGCACCGUUCUAAGAUGGGUCCUCUCUUCGUAGGCUAAUGCAUUGGCCCUUUUUGACCCGUUUUGGGGCGAAAACAAAAACUGACUCCCGGGCAUAUUUUUUUCGGCCUUUAUGGGCAGAGAACUUUAAUACCGCUCAGAAUGAGGCCACCCAGUAGUUAGGUGUGAAUUUUCGAGACCUUUGGCACCGUUCUAAGAUGGGUCCUCUCUUCGUAGGCUAAUGCAUUGGCCCUUUUUGACCCGUUUUGGGGCGAAAACAAAAACUGACUCCCGGGCAUAUUUUUUUCGGCCUUUAUGGGCAGAGAACUUUAAUACCGCUCAGAAUGAGGCCACCCAGUAGUUAGGUGUGAAUUUUCGAGACCUCUGGCACCGUUCUAAGAUGGGUCCUCUCUUCGUAGGCUAAUGCAUUGGCCCUUUUUGACCCGUUUUGGGGCGAAAACAAAAACUGACUCCCGGGCAUAUUUUUUUCGGCCUUUAUGGGCAGAGAACUUUAAUGCCGCUCAGAAUGAGGCCACCCAGUAGUUAGGUGUGAAUUUUCGAGACCUUUGGCCACCGUUCUAAGAUGGGUCCUCUCUUCGUAGGCUAAUGCAUUGGCCCUUUUUGACCCGUUUUGGGGCGAAAACAAAAACUGACUCCCGGGCAUAUUUUUUUCGGCCUUUAUGGGCAGAGAACUUUAAUACCGCUCAGAAUGAGGCCACCCAGUAGUUAGGUGUGAAUUUUCGAGACCUUUGGCACCGUUCUAAGAUGGGUCCUCUCUUCGUAGGCUAAUGCAUUGGCCCUUUUUGACCCGUUUUGGGGCGAAAACAAAAACUGACUCCCGGGCAUAUUUUUUUCGGCCUUUAUGGGCAGAGAACUUUAAUACCGCUCAGAAUGAGGCCACCCAGUAGUUAGGUGUGAAUUUUCGAGACCUUCUGGCACCGUUCUAAGAUGGGUCCUCUCUUCGUAGGCUAAUGCAUUGGCCCUUUUUGACCCGUUUUGGGGCGAAAACAAAAACUGACUCCCGGGCAUAUUUUUUUCGGCCUUUAUGGGCAGAGAACUUUAAUGCCGCUCAGAAUGAGGCCACCCAGUAGUUAGGUGUGAAUUUUCGAGACCUCUGGCACCGUUCUAAGAUGGGUCCUCUCUUCGUAGGCUAAUGCAUUGGCCCUUUUUGACCCGUUUUGGGGCGAAAACAAAAACUGACUCCCGGGCAUAUUUUUUUCGGCCUUUAUGGGCAGAGAACUUUAAUACCGCUCAGAAUGAGGCCACCCAGUAGUUAGGUGUGAAUUUUCGAGACCUUUGGCACCGUUCUAAGAUGGGUCCUCUCUUCGUAGGCUAAUGCAUUGGCCCUUUUUGACCCGUUUUGGGGCGAAAACAAAAACUGACUCCCGGGCAUAUUUUUUUCGGCCUUUAUGGGCAGAGAACUUUAAUGCCGCUCAGAAUGAGGCCACCCAGUAGUUAGGUGUGAAUUUUCGAGACCUUUGGCACCGUUCUAAGAUGGGUCCUCUCUUCGUAGGCUAAUGCAUUGGCCCUUUUUGACCCGUUUUGGGGCGAAAACAAAAACUGACUCCCGGGCAUAUUUUUUUCGGCCUUUAUGGGCAGAGAACUUUAAUACCGCUCAAAAUGAGGCCACCCAGUAGUUAGGUGUGAAUUUUCGAGACCUCUGGCACCGUUCUAAGAUGGGUCCUCUCUUCGUAGGCUAAUGCAUUGGCCCUUUUUGACCCGUUUUGGGGCGAAAACAAAAACUGACUCCCGGGCAUAUUUUUUUCGGCCUUUAUGGGCAGAGAACUUUAAUACCGCUCAAAAUGAGGCCACCCAGUAGUUAGGUGUGAAUUUUCGAGACCUUUGGCACCGUUCUAAGAUGGGUCCUCUCUUCGUAGGCUAAUGCAUUGGCCCUUUUUGACCCGUUUUGGGGCGAAAACAAAAACUGACUCCCGGGCAUAUUUUUUUCGGCCUUUAUGGGCAGAGAACUUUAAUGCCGCUCAGAAUGAGGCCACCCAGUAGUUAGGUGUGAAUUUUCGAGACCUUUGGCACCGUUCUAAGAUGGGUCCUCUCUUCGUAGGCUAAUGCAUUGGCCCUUUUUGACCCGUUUUGGGGCGAAAACAAAAACUGACUCCCGGGCAUAUUUUUUUCGGCCUUUAUGGGCAGAGAACUUUAAUACCGCUCAAAAUGAGGCCACCCAGUAGUUAGGUGUGAAUUUUCGAGACCUUUGGCACCGUUCUAAGAUGGGUCCUCUCUUCGUAGGCUAAUGCAUUGGCCCUUUUUGACCCGUUUUGGGGCGAAAACAAAAACUGACUCCCGGGCAUAUUUUUUUCGGCCUUUAUGGGCAGAGAACUUUAAUACCGCUCAAAAUGAGGCCACCCAGUAGUUAGGUGUGAAUUUUCGAGACCUUUGGCACCGUUCUAAGAUGGGUCCUCUCUUCGUAGGCUAAUGCAUUGGCCCUUUUUGACCCGUUUUGGGGCGAAAACAAAAACUGACUCCCGGGCAUAUUUUUUUCGGCCUUUAUGGGCAGAGAACUUUAAUACCGCUCAAAAUGAGGCCACCCAGUAGUUAGGUGUGAAUUUUCGAGACCUCUGGCACCGUUCUAAGAUGGGUCCUCUCUUCGUAGGCUAAUGCAUUGGCCCUUUUUGACCCGUUUUGGGGCGAAAACAAAAACUGACUCCCGGGCAUAUUUUUUUCGGCCUUUAUGGGCAGAGAACUUUAAUGCCGCUCAAAAUGAGGCCACCCAGUAGUUAGGUGUGAAUUUUCGAGACCUCUGGCACCGUUCUAAGAUGGGUCCUCUCUUCGUAGGCUAAUGCAUUGGCCCUUUUUGACCCGUUUUGGGGCGAAAACAAAAACUGACUCCCGGGCAUAUUUUUUUCGGCCUUUAUGGGCAGAGAACUUUAAUACCGCUCAGAAUGAGGCCACCCAGUAGUUAGGUGUGAAUUUUCGAGACCUUUGGCACCGUUCUAAGAUGGGUCCUCUCUUCGUAGGCUAAUGCAUUGGCCCUUUUUGACCCGUUUUGGGGCGAAAACAAAAACUGACUCCCGGGCAUAUUUUUUUCGGCCUUUAUGGGCAGAGAACUUUAAUACCGCUCAAAAUGAGGCCACCCAGUAGUUAGGUGUGAAUUUUCGAGACCUUUGGCACCGUUCUAAGAUGGGUCCUCUCUUCGUAGGCUAAUGCAUUGGCCCUUUUUGACCCGUUUUGGGGCGAAAACAAAAACUGACUCCCGGGCAUAUUUUUUUCGGCCUUUAUGGGCAGAGAACUUUAAUACCGCUCAAAAUGAGGCCACCCAGUAGUUAGGUGUGAAUUUUCGAGACCUUUGGCACCGUUCUAAGAUGGGUCCUCUCUUCGUAGGCUAAUGCAUUGGCCCUUUUUGACCCGUUUUGGGGCGAAAACAAAAACUGACUCCCGGGCAUAUUUUUUUCGGCCUUUAUGGGCAGAGAACUUUAAUACCGCUCAAAAUGAGGCCACCCAGUAGUUAGGUGUGAAUUUUCGAGACCUUUGGCACCGUUCUAAGAUGGGUCCUCUCUUCGUAGGCUAAUGCAUUGGCCCUUUUUGACCCGUUUUGGGGCGAAAACAAAAACUGACUCCCGGGCAUAUUUUUUUCGGCCUUUAUGGGCAGAGAACUUUAAUACCGCUCAAAAUGAGGCCACCCAGUAGUUAGGUGUGAAUUUUCGAGACCUUUGGCACCGUUCUAAGAUGGGUCCUCUCUUCGUAGGCUAAUGCAUUGGCCCUUUUUGACCCGUUUUGGGGCGAAAACAAAAACUGACUCCCGGGCAUAUUUUUUUCGGCCUUUAUGGGCAGAGAACUUUAAUACCGCUCAAAAUGAGGCCACCCAGUAGUUAGGUGUGAAUUUUCGAGACCUUUGGCACCGUUCUAAGAUGGGUCCUCUCUUCGUAGGCUAAUGCAUUGGCCCUUUUUGACCCGUUUUGGGGCGAAAACAAAAACUGACUCCCGGGCAUAUUUUUUUCGGCCUUUAUGGGCAGAGAACUUUAAUACCGCUCAAAAUGAGGCCACCCAGUAGUUAGGUGUGAAUUUUCGAGACCUUUGGCACCGUUCUAAGAUGGGUCCUCUCUUCGUAGGCUAAUGCAUUGGCCCUUUUUGACCCGUUUUGGGGCGAAAACAAAAACUGACUCCCGGGCAUAUUUUUUUCGGCCUUUAUGGGCAGAGAACUUUAAUACCGCUCAAAAUGAGGCCACCCAGUAGUUAGGUGUGAAUUUUCGAGACCUUUGGCACCGUUCUAAGAUGGGUCCUCUCUUCGUAGGCUAAUGCAUUGGCCCUUUUUGACCCGUUUUGGGGCGAAAACAAAAACUGACUCCCGGGCAUAUUUUUUUCGGCCUUUAUGGGCAGAGAACUUUAAUACCGCUCAAAAUGAGGCCACCCAGUAGUUAGGUGUGAAUUUUCGAGACCUUUGGCACCGUUCUAAGAUGGGUCCUCUCUUCGUAGGCUAAUGCAUUGGCCCUUUUUGACCCGUUUUGGGGCGAAAACAAAAACUGACUCCCGGGCAUAUUUUUUUCGGCCUUUAUGGGCAGAGAACUUUAAUACCGCUCAAAAUGAGGCCACCCAGUAGUUAGGUGUGAAUUUUCGAGACCUUUGGCACCGUUCUAAGAUGGGUCCUCUCUUCGUAGGCUAAUGCAUUGGCCCUUUUUGACCCGUUUUGGGGCGAAAACAAAAACUGACUCCCGGGCAUAUUUUUUUCGGCCUUUAUGGGCAGAGAACUUUAAUACCGCUCAAAAUGAGGCCACCCAGUAGUUAGGUGUGAAUUUUCGAGACCUUUGGCACCGUUCUAAGAUGGGUCCUCUCUUCGUAGGCUAAUGCAUUGGCCCUUUUUGACCCGUUUUGGGGCGAAAACAAAAACUGACUCCCGGGCAUAUUUUUUUCGGCCUUUAUGGGCAGAGAACUUUAAUACCGCUCAAAAUGAGGCCACCCAGUAGUUAGGUGUGAAUUUUCGAGACCUUUGGCACCGUUCUAAGAUGGGUCCUCUCUUCGUAGGCUAAUGCAUUGGCCCUUUUUGACCCGUUUUGGGGCGAAAACAAAAACUGACUCCCGGGCAUAUUUUUUUCGGCCUUUAUGGGCAGAGAACUUUAAUACCGCUCAAAAUGAGGCCACCCAGUAGUUAGGUGUGAAUUUUCGAGACCUUUGGCACCGUUCUAAGAUGGGUCCUCUCUUCGUAGGCUAAUGCAUUGGCCCUUUUUGACCCGUUUUGGGGCGAAAACAAAAACUGACUCCCGGGCAUAUUUUUUUCGGCCUUUAUGGGCAGAGAACUUUAAUACCGCUCAAAAUGAGGCCACCCAGUAGUUAGGUGUGAAUUUUCGAGACCUUUGGCACCGUUCUAAGAUGGGUCCUCUCUUCGUAGGCUAAUGCAUUGGCCCUUUUUGACCCGUUUUGGGGCGAAAACAAAAACUGACUCCCGGGCAUAUUUUUUUCGGCCUUUAUGGGCAGAGAACUUUAAUACCGCUCAAAAUGAGGCCACCCAGUAGUUAGGUGUGAAUUUUCGAGACCUUUGGCACCGUUCUAAGAUGGGUCCUCUCUUCGUAGGCUAAUGCAUUGGCCCUUUUUGACCCGUUUUGGGGCGAAAACAAAAACUGACUCCCGGGCAUAUUUUUUUCGGCCUUUAUGGGCAGAGAACUUUAAUACCGCUCAAAAUGAGGCCACCCAGUAGUUAGGUGUGAAUUUUCGAGACCUUUGGCACCGUUCUAAGAUGGGUCCUCUCUUCGUAGGCUAAUGCAUUGGCCCUUUUUGACCCGUUUUGGGGCGAAAACAAAAACUGACUCCCGGGCAUAUUUUUUUCGGCCUUUAUGGGCAGAGAACUUUAAUACCGCUCAAAAUGAGGCCACCCAGUAGUUAGGUGUGAAUUUUCGAGACCUUUGGCACCGUUCUAAGAUGGGUCCUCUCUUCGUAGGCUAAUGCAUUGGCCCUUUUUGACCCGUUUUGGGGCGAAAACAAAAACUGACUCCCGGGCAUAUUUUUUUCGGCCUUUAUGGGCAGAGAACUUUAAUACCGCUCAAAAUGAGGCCACCCAGUAGUUAGGUGUGAAUUUUCGAGACCUUUGGCACCGUUCUAAGAUGGGUCCUCUCUUCGUAGGCUAAUGCAUUGGCCCUUUUUGACCCGUUUUGGGGCGAAAACAAAAACUGACUCCCGGGCAUAUUUUUUUCGGCCUUUAUGGGCAGAGAACUUUAAUACCGCUCAAAAUGAGGCCACCCAGUAGUUAGGUGUGAAUUUUCGAGACCUUUGGCACCGUUCUAAGAUGGGUCCUCUCUUCGUAGGCUAAUGCAUUGGCCCUUUUUGACCCGUUUUGGGGCGAAAACAAAAACUGACUCCCGGGCAUAUUUUUUUCGGCCUUUAUGGGCAGAGAACUUUAAUACCGCUCAAAAUGAGGCCACCCAGUAGUUAGGUGUGAAUUUUCGAGACCUUUGGCACCGUUCUAAGAUGGGUCCUCUCUUCGUAGGCUAAUGCAUUGGCCCUUUUUGACCCGUUUUGGGGCGAAAACAAAAACUGACUCCCGGGCAUAUUUUUUUCGGCCUUUAUGGGCAGAGAACUUUAAUACCGCUCAAAAUGAGGCCACCCAGUAGUUAGGUGUGAAUUUUCGAGACCUUUGGCACCGUUCUAAGAUGGGUCCUCUCUUCGUAGGCUAAUGCAUUGGCCCUUUUUGACCCGUUUUGGGGCGAAAACAAAAACUGACUCCCGGGCAUAUUUUUUUCGGCCUUUAUGGGCAGAGAACUUUAAUACCGCUCAAAAUGAGGCCACCCAGUAGUUAGGUGUGAAUUUUCGAGACCUUUGGCACCGUUCUAAGAUGGGUCCUCUCUUCGUAGGCUAAUGCAUUGGCCCUUUUUGACCCGUUUUGGGGCGAAAACAAAAACUGACUCCCGGGCAUAUUUUUUUCGGCCUUUAUGGGCAGAGAACUUUAAUACCGCUCAAAAUGAGGCCACCCAGUAGUUAGGUGUGAAUUUUCGAGACCUUUGGCACCGUUCUAAGAUGGGUCCUCUCUUCGUAGGCUAAUGCAUUGGCCCUUUUUGACCCGUUUUGGGGCGAAAACAAAAACUGACUCCCGGGCAUAUUUUUUUCGGCCUUUAUGGGCAGAGAACUUUAAUACCGCUCAAAAUGAGGCCACCCAGUAGUUAGGUGUGAAUUUUCGAGACCUUUGGCACCGUUCUAAGAUGGGUCCUCUCUUCGUAGGCUAAUGCAUUGGCCCUUUUUGACCCGUUUUGGGGCGAAAACAAAAACUGACUCCCGGGCAUAUUUUUUUCGGCCUUUAUGGGCAGAGAACUUUAAUACCGCUCAAAAUGAGGCCACCCAGUAGUUAGGUGUGAAUUUUCGAGACCUUUGGCACCGUUCUAAGAUGGGUCCUCUCUUCGUAGGCUAAUGCAUUGGCCCUUUUUGACCCGUUUUGGGGCGAAAACAAAAACUGACUCCCGGGCAUAUUUUUUUCGGCCUUUAUGGGCAGAGAACUUUAAUACCGCUCAAAAUGAGGCCACCCAGUAGUUAGGUGUGAAUUUUCGAGACCUUUGGCACCGUUCUAAGAUGGGUCCUCUCUUCGUAGGCUAAUGCAUUGGCCCUUUUUGACCCGUUUUGGGGCGAAAACAAAAACUGACUCCCGGGCAUAUUUUUUUCGGCCUUUAUGGGCAGAGAACUUUAAUACCGCUCAAAAUGAGGCCACCCAGUAGUUAGGUGUGAAUUUUCGAGACCUUUGGCACCGUUCUAAGAUGGGUCCUCUCUUCGUAGGCUAAUGCAUUGGCCCUUUUUGACCCGUUUUGGGGCGAAAACAAAAACUGACUCCCGGGCAUAUUUUUUUCGGCCUUUAUGGGCAGAGAACUUUAAUACCGCUCAAAAUGAGGCCACCCAGUAGUUAGGUGUGAAUUUUCGAGACCUUUGGCACCGUUCUAAGAUGGGUCCUCUCUUCGUAGGCUAAUGCAUUGGCCCUUUUUGACCCGUUUUGGGGCGAAAACAAAAACUGACUCCCGGGCAUAUUUUUUUCGGCCUUUAUGGGCAGAGAACUUUAAUACCGCUCAAAAUGAGGCCACCCAGUAGUUAGGUGUGAAUUUUCGAGACCUUUGGCACCGUUCUAAGAUGGGUCCUCUCUUCGUAGGCUAAUGCAUUGGCCCUUUUUGACCCGUUUUGGGGCGAAAACAAAAACUGACUCCCGGGCAUAUUUUUUUCGGCCUUUAUGGGCAGAGAACUUUAAUACCGCUCAAAAUGAGGCCACCCAGUAGUUAGGUGUGAAUUUUCGAGACCUUUGGCACCGUUCUAAGAUGGGUCCUCUCUUCGUAGGCUAAUGCAUUGGCCCUUUUUGACCCGUUUUGGGGCGAAAACAAAAACUGACUCCCGGGCAUAUUUUUUUCGGCCUUUAUGGGCAGAGAACUUUAAUACCGCUCAAAAUGAGGCCACCCAGUAGUUAGGUGUGAAUUUUCGAGACCUUUGGCACCGUUCUAAGAUGGGUCCUCUCUUCGUAGGCUAAUGCAUUGGCCCUUUUUGACCCGUUUUGGGGCGAAAACAAAAACUGACUCCCGGGCAUAUUUUUUUCGGCCUUUAUGGGCAGAGAACUUUAAUACCGCUCAAAAUGAGGCCACCCAGUAGUUAGGUGUGAAUUUUCGAGACCUUUGGCACCGUUCUAAGAUGGGUCCUCUCUUCGUAGGCUAAUGCAUUGGCCCUUUUUGACCCGUUUUGGGGCGAAAACAAAAACUGACUCCCGGGCAUAUUUUUUUCGGCCUUUAUGGGCAGAGAACUUUAAUACCGCUCAAAAUGAGGCCACCCAGUAGUUAGGUGUGAAUUUUCGAGACCUUUGGCACCGUUCUAAGAUGGGUCCUCUCUUCGUAGGCUAAUGCAUUGGCCCUUUUUGACCCGUUUUGGGGCGAAAACAAAAACUGACUCCCGGGCAUAUUUUUUUCGGCCUUUAUGGGCAGAGAACUUUAAUACCGCUCAAAAUGAGGCCACCCAGUAGUUAGGUGUGAAUUUUCGAGACCUUUGGCACCGUUCUAAGAUGGGUCCUCUCUUCGUAGGCUAAUGCAUUGGCCCUUUUUGACCCGUUUUGGGGCGAAAACAAAAACUGACUCCCGGGCAUAUUUUUUUCGGCCUUUAUGGGCAGAGAACUUUAAUACCGCUCAAAAUGAGGCCACCCAGUAGUUAGGUGUGAAUUUUCGAGACCUCUUGGCACCGUUCUAAGAUGGGUCCUCUCUUCGUAGGCUAAUGCAUUGGCCCUUUUUGACCCGUUUUGGGGCGAAAACAAAAACUGACUCCCGGGCAUAUUUUUUUCGGCCUUUAUGGGCAGAGAACUUUAAUACCGCUCAAAAUGAGGCCACCCAGUAGUUAGGUGUGAAUUUUCGAGACCUCUGGCACCGUUCUAAGAUGGGUCCUCUCUUCGUAGGCUAAUGCAUUGGCCCUUUUUGACCCGUUUUGGGGCGAAAACAAAAACUGACUCCCGGGCAUAUUUUUUUCGGCCUUUAUGGGCAGAGAACUUUAAUGCCGCUCAAAAUGAGGCCACCCAGUAGUUAGGUGUGAAUUUUCGAGACCUCUGGCACCGUUCUAAGAUGGGUCCUCUCUUCGUAGGCUAAUGCAUUGGCCCUUUUUGACCCGUUUUGGGGCGAAAACAAAAACUGACUCCCGGGCAUAUUUUUUUCGGCCUUUAUGGGCAGAGAACUUUAAUACCGCUCAGAAUGAGGCCACCCAGUAGUUAGGUGUGAAUUUUCGAGACCUUCUGGCACCGUUCUAAGAUGGGUCCUCUCUUCGUAGGCUAAUGCAUUGGCCCUUUUUGACCCGUUUUGGGGCGAAAACAAAAACUGACUCCCGGGCAUAUUUUUUUCGGCCUUUAUGGGCAGAGAACUUUAAUACCGCUCAGAAUGAGGCCACCCAGUAGUUAGGUGUGAAUUUUCGAGACCUCUGGCACCGUUCUAAGAUGGGUCCUCUCUUCGUAGGCUAAUGCAUUGGCCCUUUUUGACCCGUUUUGGGGCGAAAACAAAAACUGACUCCCGGGCAUAUUUUUUUCGGCCUUUAUGGGCAGAGAACUUUAAUACCGCUCAGAAUGAGGCCACCCAGUAGUUAGGUGUGAAUUUUCGAGACCUUUGGCACCGUUCUAAGAUGGGUCCUCUCUUCGUAGGCUAAUGCAUUGGCCCUUUUUGACCCGUUUUGGGGCGAAAACAAAAACUGACUCCCGGGCAUAUUUUUUUCGGCCUUUAUGGGCAGAGAACUUUAAUGCCGCUCAGAAUGAGGCCACCCAGUAGUUAGGUGUGAAUUUUCGAGACCUUUGGCACCGUUCUAAGAUGGGUCCUCUCUUCGUAGGCUAAUGCAUUGGCCCUUUUUGACCCGUUUUGGGGCGAAAACAAAAACUGACUCCCGGGCAUAUUUUUUUCGGCCUUUAUGGGCAGAGAACUUUAAUGCCGCUCAGAAUGAGGCCACCCAGUAGUUAGGUGUGAAUUUUCGAGACCUCUGGCACCGUUCUAAGAUGGGUCCUCUCUUCGUAGGCUAAUGCAUUGGCCCUUUUUGACCCGUUUUGGGGCGAAAACAAAAACUGACUCCCGGGCAUAUUUUUUUCGGCCUUUAUGGGCAGAGAACUUUAAUACCGCUCAAAAUGAGGCCACCCAGUAGUUAGGUGUGAAUUUUCGAGACCUUUGGCACCGUUCUAAGAUGGGUCCUCUCUUCGUAGGCUAAUGCAUUGGCCCUUUUUGACCCGUUUUGGGGCGAAAACAAAAACUGACUCCCGGGCAUAUUUUUUUCGGCCUUUAUGGGCAGAGAACUUUAAUACCGCUCAAAAUGAGGCCACCCAGUAGUUAGGUGUGAAUUUUCGAGACCUCUGGCACCGUUCUAAGAUGGGUCCUCUCUUCGUAGGCUAAUGCAUUGGCCCUUUUUGACCCGUUUUGGGGCGAAAACAAAAACUGACUCCCGGGCAUAUUUUUUUCGGCCUUUAUGGGCAGAGAACUUUAAUACCGCUCAAAAUGAGGCCACCCAGUAGUUAGGUGUGAAUUUUCGAGACCUUUGGCACCGUUCUAAGAUGGGUCCUCUCUUCGUAGGCUAAUGCAUUGGCCCUUUUUGACCCGUUUUGGGGCGAAAACAAAAACUGACUCCCGGGCAUAUUUUUUUCGGCCUUUAUGGGCAGAGAACUUUAAUACCGCUCAGAAUGAGGCCACCCAGUAGUUAGGUGUGAAUUUUCGAGACCUUUGGCACCGUUCUAAGAUGGGUCCUCUCUUCGUAGGCUAAUGCAUUGGCCCUUUUUGACCCGUUUUGGGGCGAAAACAAAAACUGACUCCCGGGCAUAUUUUUUUCGGCCUUUAUGGGCAGAGAACUUUAAUACGCCGCUCAGAAUGAGGCCACCCAGUAGUUAGGUGUGAAUUUUCGAGACCUUUGGCACCGUUCUAAGAUGGGUCCUCUCUUCGUAGGCUAAUGCAUUGGCCCUUUUUGACCCGUUUUGGGGCGAAAACAAAAACUGACUCCCGGGCAUAUUUUUUUCGGCCUUUAUGGGCAGAGAACUUUAAUACCGCUCAGAAUGAGGCCACCCAGUAGUUAGGUGUGAAUUUUCGAGACCUUUGGCACCGUUCUAAGAUGGGUCCUCUCUUCGUAGGCUAAUGCAUUGGCCCUUUUUGACCCGUUUUGGGGCGAAAACAAAAACUGACUCCCGGGCAUAUUUUUUUCGGCCUUUAUGGGCAGAGAACUUUAAUACCGCUCAGAAUGAGGCCACCCAGUAGUUAGGUGUGAAUUUUCGAGACCUUUGGCACCGUUCUAAGAUGGGUCCUCUCUUCGUAGGCUAAUGCAUUGGCCCUUUUUGACCCGUUUUGGGGCGAAAACAAAAACUGACUCCCGGGCAUAUUUUUUUCGGCCUUUAUGGGCAGAGAACUUUAAUACCGCUCAAAAUGAGGCCACCCAGUAGUUAGGUGUGAAUUUUCGAGACCUUCUGGCACCGUUCUAAGAUGGGUCCUCUCUUCGUAGGCUAAUGCAUUGGCCCUUUUUGACCCGUUUUGGGGCGAAAACAAAAACUGACUCCCGGGCAUAUUUUUUUCGGCCUUUAUGGGCAGAGAACUUUAAUACCGCUCAAAAUGAGGCCACCCAGUAGUUAGGUGUGAAUUUUCGAGACCUCUGGCACCGUUCUAAGAUGGGUCCUCUCUUCGUAGGCUAAUGCAUUGGCCCUUUUUGACCCGUUUUGGGGCGAAAACAAAAACUGACUCCCGGGCAUAUUUUUUUCGGCCUUUAUGGGCAGAGAACUUUAAUACCCGCUCAGAAUGAGGCCACCCAGUAGUUAGGUGUGAAUUUUCGAGACCUUCUGGCACCGUUCUAAGAUGGGUCCUCUCUUCGUAGGCUAAUGCAUUGGCCCUUUUUGACCCGUUUUGGGGCGAAAACAAAAACUGACUCCCGGGCAUAUUUUUUUCGGCCUUUAUGGGCAGAGAACUUUAAUACCGCUCAAAAUGAGGCCACCCAGUAGUUAGGUGUGAAUUUUCGAGACCUCUGGCACCGUUCUAAGAUGGGUCCUCUCUUCGUAGGCUAAUGCAUUGGCCCUUUUUGACCCGUUUUGGGGCGAAAACAAAAACUGACUCCCGGGCAUAUUUUUUUCGGCCUUUAUGGGCAGAGAACUUUAAUACCGCUCAAAAUGAGGCCACCCAGUAGUUAGGUGUGAAUUUUCGAGACCUUUGGCACCGUUCUAAGAUGGGUCCUCUCUUCGUAGGCUAAUGCAUUGGCCCUUUUUGACCCGUUUUGGGGCGAAAACAAAAACUGACUCCCGGGCAUAUUUUUUUCGGCCUUUAUGGGCAGAGAACUUUAAUGCCGCUCAGAAUGAGGCCACCCAGUAGUUAGGUGUGAAUUUUCGAGACCUUUGGCACCGUUCUAAGAUGGGUCCUCUCUUCGUAGGCUAAUGCAUUGGCCCUUUUUGACCCGUUUUGGGGCGAAAACAAAAACUGACUCCCGGGCAUAUUUUUUUCGGCCUUUAUGGGCAGAGAACUUUAAUGCCGCUCAAAAUGAGGCCACCCAGUAGUUAGGUGUGAAUUUUCGAGACCUUUGGCACCGUUCUAAGAUGGGUCCUCUCUUCGUAGGCUAAUGCAUUGGCCCUUUUUGACCCGUUUUGGGGCGAAAACAAAAACUGACUCCCGGGCAUAUUUUUUUCGGCCUUUAUGGGCAGAGAACUUUAAUACCGCUCAAAAUGAGGCCACCCAGUAGUUAGGUGUGAAUUUUCGAGACCUUUGGCACCGUUCUAAGAUGGGUCCUCUCUUCGUAGGCUAAUGCAUUGGCCCUUUUUGACCCGUUUUGGGGCGAAAACAAAAACUGACUCCCGGGCAUAUUUUUUUCGGCCUUUAUGGGCAGAGAACUUUAAUGCCGCUCAAAAUGAGGCCACCCAGUAGUUAGGUGUGAAUUUUCGAGACCUUUGGCACCGUUCUAAGAUGGGUCCUCUCUUCGUAGGCUAAUGCAUUGGCCCUUUUUGACCCGUUUUGGGGCGAAAACAAAAACUGACUCCCGGGCAUAUUUUUUUCGGCCUUUAUGGGCAGAGAACUUUAAUACCCGCUCAGAAUGAGGCCACCCAGUAGUUAGGUGUGAAUUUUCGAGACCUUUGGCACCGUUCUAAGAUGGGUCCUCUCUUCGUAGGCUAAUGCAUUGGCCCUUUUUGACCCGUUUUGGGGCGAAAACAAAAACUGACUCCCGGGCAUAUUUUUUUCGGCCUUUAUGGGCAGAGAACUUUAAUACCGCUCAGAAAUGAGGCCACCCAGUAGUUAGGUGUGAAUUUUCGAGACCUUUGGCACCGUUCUAAGAUGGGUCCUCUCUUCGUAGGCUAAUGCAUUGGCCCUUUUUGACCCGUUUUGGGGCGAAAACAAAAACUGACUCCCGGGCAUAUUUUUUUCGGCCUUUAUGGGCAGAGAACUUUAAUACCGCUCAGAAAUGAGGCCACCCAGUAGUUAGGUGGGAAUUUUCGAGACCUUUGGCACCGUUCUAAGAUGGGUCCUCUCUUCGUAGGCUAAUGCAUUGGCCCUUUUUGACCCGUUUUGGGGCGAAAACAAAAACUGACUCCCGGGCAUAUUUUUUUCGGCCUUUAUGGGCAGAGAACUUUAACACCGCUCAAAAUGAGGCCACCCAGUAGUUAGGUGUGAAUUUUCGAGACCUUUGGCACCGUUCUAAGAUGGGUCCUCUCUUCGUAGGCUAAUGCAUUGGCCCUUUUUGACCCGUUUUGGGGCGAAAACAAAAACUGACUCCCGGGCAUAUUUUUUUCGGCCUUUAUGGGCAGAGAACUUUAAUACCGCUCAAAAUGAGGCCACCCAGUAGUUAGGUGUGAAUUUUCGAGACCUUUGGCACCGUUCUAAGAUGGGUCCUCUCUUCGUAGGCUAAUGCAUUGGCCCUUUUUGACCCGUUUUGGGGCGAAAACAAAAACUGACUCCCGGGCAUAUUUUUUUCGGCCUUUAUGGGCAGAGAACUUUAACACCGCUCAAAAUGAGGCCACCCAGUAGUUAGGUGGGAAUUUUCGAGACCUUUGGCACCGUUCUAAGAUGGGUCCUCUCUUCGUAGGCUAAUGCAUUGGCCCUUUUUGACCCGUUUUGGGGCGAAAACAAAAACUGACUCCCGGGCAUAUUUUUUUUCGGCCUUUAUGGGCAGAGAACUUUAACACCGCUCAAAAUGAGGCCACCCAGUAGUUAGGUGGGAAUUUUCGAGACCUUUGGCACCGUUCUAAGAUGGGUCCUCUCUUCGUAGGCUAAUGCAUUGGCCCUUUUUGACCCGUUUUGGGGCGAAAACAAAAACUGACUCCCGGGCAUAUUUUUC